UUGUACCUGGUAUUUGAGUACAUGGAGCAUGACAUCACUGGCCUCUUGUCUUGCCCUGAUGUCAGGUUCAGUGAAUCACAGAUAAAAUGCUACAUGAAGCAAUUGCUAUCUGGACUUGAGCACUGUCACUCAAUGGGUGUAAUGCAUCGAGACAUCAAAGGAUCAAAUCUUCUUGUAAACAACGAAGGAAUAUUGAAGGUGGGAGAUUUUGGAUUGGCAAACUUCUGCAAUUCUGGGCAUAGGCAACCAUUAACCAGUCGAGUUGUAACUUUAUGGUACCGUCCUCCGGAACUUUUACUAGGUUCAACUGAUUAUGGAGCAGCUGUGGAUCUAUGGAGUGUUGGCUGUGUAUUUGCAGAACUUCUCCUUGGAAAACCUGUUCUUCAAGGGAGAACAGAGGUUGAACAAUUACACAAAAUUUUCAAGCUUUGUGGGUCCCCACCUGAUGAAUACUGGAAAAAAUCUAAACUUCCUCAUGCAACUUUAUUCAAACCACAACAACCUUAUGAUAGCUGUCUUCGUGAGACCUUCAAAGAUUUGCCAGCAACUGCUGUGAACCUGAUAGAAACACUUCUGUCUGUAGAGCCAUACAAGCGUGGGACUGCUACCUCUGCUCUAGCAUCUGAGGUGAUUGUCAUCUUCUAUGAAAUCUGAUGGGCCAAUCACAAGAGAGACCAUGGAAAUGAAUUUACUUAUCAUUCUCAAUUUGACAUCUCCAUACACUGAUGUUGUUACGAUGAAUUCAUGUCUAACCUCUUCAUAUUUGGUUCACAUCCUUCAUUUUAGGUCCAAUAAAACCACACCACAGAAGAAUUGCUGUUAUUUUUUUUGGAAAUUUUAUGACUGACCUCUGGUAUAUCUAACUAGAAUUUUUCUAAUGUGAUGCUUUUAUCUUCAAUUUUCAGUAUUUCACCGCAAAACCUUAUGCAUGUGAUCCAUCG
rnacentral:misc_RNA from 1 species